CAUGCCGUAAACGUUGGGCACUAGGUGUGGGUCUCAACCAACGAGAUCCGCGCCGUCGCUAACGCAUUAAGUGCCCCGCCUGGGGAGUACGGUCGCAAGACUAAAACUCAAAGGAAUUGA
rnacentral:rRNA from 1 species